rnacentral:rRNA from 1 species
GACGAACGCUGGCGGCGUGCUUAACACAUGCAAGUCGAACGGAAAGGCCCUGCUUUUGUGGGGUGCUCGAGUGGCGAACGGGUGAGUAACACGUGAGUAACCUGCCCUUGACUUUGGGAUAACUUCAGGAAACUGGGGCUAAUACCGGAUAGGAGCUCCUGCUGCAUGGUGGGGGGUGGAAAGUUUCGGCGGUUGGGGAUGGACUCGCGGCUUAUCAGCUUGUUGGUGGGGUAGUGGCUUACCAAGGCUUUGACGGGUAGCCGGCCUGAGAGGGUGACCGGCCACAUUGGGACCGAGAUACGGCCCAGACUCCUACGGGAGGCAGCAGUGGGGAAUAUUGCACAAUGGGCGGAAGCCUGAUGCAGCAACGCCGCGUGCGGGAUGACGGCCUUCGGGUUGUAAACCGCUUUCGCCUGUGACGAAGCGUGAGUGACGGUAAUGGGUAAAGAAGCACCGGCUAACUACGG